AGUUCUAGUCAAGACGCAGCAUGAACAUGGGGAUUUGUGCUCAGCUUCUGGGGCUCCUGGUGCUCUGGAUCCCAGGUACCAAAUGUGAUAUCCAGAUGACCCAGUCACCAGCUUUCCUGUCUGCAUCUCUAGGAGACACAGUAACCAUUAAUUGCUGGGCCAGUCAGGACAUAAGAAAGGAUUUAGCAUGGUAUCAGCAGAAACCAGGGGAAGCUCCUAAACUCCUGAUCUAUGAUGCAACCAAUUUGCAAUCUGGGAUCCCAUCAAGGUUCAGCGGCAGUGGAUCUGGGACAGAUUAUUCUCUCACCAUCAGAAUACUGGAAACUGAAGAUGUGGCAACUUAUUACUGUUUUCAAGAAGACACUAGACCUCCCACAGUGAUACAAGGCGUAACAAAAACCACCAAAGGAAGCAGAAGUGUGAGGAUGGGCUGCCCCAGCUGCCCCUUCUGCCCCAGCUGA